rfam:Brachypodium distachyon strain Bd21 chromosome 2, whole genome shotgun sequence.
GUGCUCGACGAUGAGGAGAUUAUAGGGUACAUGCUCGCUGGACUAGGAUUCAAGUAUGAUGCCCUCGUGACGUCGAUCACCACCCGCACCGAACCGGUAUCUCUCAGUGAUUUUUAUUCUUACUUGCUGAGCUUUGAAA